UUAUUUUUUUAAUUUUUUUUUUUUUCGGCCCUGUCCAUGGCAUGCAGAAGUUCCCAGGCCAAGGAUGGAACCCCAGCCACAGCAGUGACAAUGCUGGAUCCUUAGCCCGCCACCAGGGAGCUCCUCGAUACCGUAUUUUAAAGUUGAAGACAUCAGGAAGGAAGGAGAUCAGCAGGAAAGUGAGGUGGUGAUGGGAUGAACUGGCACACAGCAGCGGCUUCAGGCAUCAGGUCACGUGGGGUGGGGAGAGCAGCUGUGUCCUCCAACAGGCCCCUGAGCUCUCCCGAGCAGGGGGUCACUGGGCCCCCGGGUGGGCAGGACUGGCCACAGUCAGGGGAUGAAGAACCUUGUUCAGGCACAGCGUUUUGCCUCUGAGAAGCCAUCGAGACUACCCGCUAGUGGCCAAGAGCUGAGUCCCCCGGCUGACUCCAGCCCUCCACGCUCAGCGCCAGGGUGACAGUGGUGAAGGGGCGGGGGGCGCCAGCAGCCGCCACCAGACAACCCCAAGGCCUCUCCGCCCUGCACUGCUGCUCUGGGUUCUCAGCUCACUGCCCCCCCCCCCGCCCCCGGGAGUGCCCUGAGCAUCCCCAGUGAGACUUAGCAGGAGCUGAGCCAGGAAUCAGGACCCGCUCUGCUGCCGCCUCGGGGCUUUGUGGCACCUCAGCCUUCCCUGCGCAGCCCCAGCCCCAGCGAGGACAUCAGGGGCCGAUGCCCAGUGGCCCGGCUGCCCGCACCCUGCCCUCCACUCCAGGACCAGCCCAGCAGCUGGCUGCCUCCUUCCUGCCUGACGGCAGGGCCUGGGGGAUCCCCGCCAGCCCUGCAUCACCCCGGCCCCAGCCCAGGGGGCUCGAACGAGCUUGUCACCAAAGGGGCAGCUGUAGGUCUAGAGAGGAGCAAAGUGGGGGACUGGGCCAGGAGGGACUGAGCAGUCACCAGGCGGGAUCCACACACCCAGGGGCCCGUCAGGUCCCAGGGCUCUUUCCAGGCAGAAGCUGCCGGGCCGUGAGGGCAGCUGGAGUUCCCAGCACCUCAGGGGCCCAAUCUCAGACGCCACUGCGGAUCUGCUGUGAGGACCUGGGGCUCCUGCUGCCCCAAGUCUCAAGUUAGAAGAGAUGUGACUAGCCACUGACUCCAAGGGUCAAGGUUCACAGAGGCUAUUUAACUGGCCCAGGACACACAGCAGGAGGAGAGGAGCCCUCACCCAGGACCCAGGAUCAGCCGCUGGGCUGUGCAGGCCUCCAUGCUCCCCUCCUCCCCACAGGGCUGGCACGCACCCACCCACACUUCAGGGCAGGUGGGGAGCUUGCAGAUGCCCCAAACCACUUGGAAAACAGCUGGGGACACUAAGAGUGGUGGCAGGUGCAAACCUAAACCAGGCCCCUGCACCAGGCAACAACUUCCUGCUGCCCAAGCCCCUUCCUCACCCUCCUCCUUCUGAUGGCCCACCACCCAAAGCCCCCUCAGCCUGGGGACACUGGGGACAGGGUGGGCAGUGGGUGGCCCCAGCUGGGCGGUCACUGUUCAUCAAGCAGAUCUUUAGCCCUCUGCUCCUGGCAGAACAUCGUGGCCCUCCAGCCCGUGCUGGUGCGGCUUAAAUUUCACGGCCCAGCAGAAUUCCCGGGCAGGACAGCCUGGCCACCCUUCCUGAUCCCAAGGCUUCCCAGGGCACGGCCCCAACUUUUUAGCCAGGGUCCCUAUGAUGUCCCGAAGAGUCGUGGUACAUCCGGCAACAAGCCUCCAUCCUCAAAACCUUUCUGCAGAAACCAGUUCUGUUGGCUGAGGCAAAAGGGGUGGCCCGCAGCCACCCCAUCACCCAGGGGCCCCACCUAACAGCCACUGGGUUGGGGCCACGGGAGCCCAGCCCAGAGCUGGCCAGAGCACAGGCCCAGGGGAAGGCACUUCUAACCCUGCUUGGGGGGGGGCGCCCACUGGGGGCCGGGGCCCUGAGGCAGCACAGCCACAACAGAGGUGUGAGAAGCAGGAGCCCAGGACUAGGGAGCGGCUAAUCGUCAGAAAGCAGCAGGGUGACAAGGACAAGGCCAGGCCUGGGCUUGUUUGGGUGGGGGAGUCCCAGUGGUACCCAAGGAGGGGCAGGUGGCCAGGAAGGAUGGGAGAAAGGAGGCACCGCCUGGGGCCUUCCUCUCCCAGGGCAGCGCAGGCCUUCCUGCCCUCCACAGCUCUCAGGAUCUGAGCCGGAGCCCGAGGGAAGUUUUCAAGGCCCGACACGCUGACUGUGCAGAGGACCCAGGCCCCGCAGCCCUGCGGCGCCUCACCCGGCCUCCACCCCUCUGCAUACGCCUGCCCUACUUGGACGAGUCCGUCGCGCCCCUGCACCUGCCCAACUCCAGCUCAGCUCAGCUGUCACUCCGUCUGGGACACCUUCCCAGAGCCUCUAAAUCAAGGUGGGAGGUGGGUGCUCCCCACUGUCAGCCUGGGAAGUGAGUUGAAGGCAGGGCCUGGCUCUCAGGAGUCGCCUGACCCCGCAACCUCGCUCCAGGGAGCGAGCCAGGGAGCUGAGCCCAGCUGAGAUACAGAAAACCUGCCGCUUGGGGCCCGCCUGCCCGGCCCGGCCCCGCCCUAAAGCACGCGGCAGACCAGACGAAGCUGUGAUUCCGCGUACAGAGACAAUGUAUGUAAAGUGCCGGGUACAACGCUCUGAAAAAUAGUAUUCUCCAAAAAGCCAGCGCCAGGAUGCCCCCGCGGUCUAGCCCUUGCCAGUGAGGUCCAGCGGCUGCAGGAAGGGUGGCAGCGGCAGCUCGUCCAGGGCCUCGGGGAAGCGGCCGGGCGAGAUGGCGGUGACCAGCACCUGCAUGGCACGCGCGAAGAGCGAGGGUGGCGCCAGGCCCGCCAGCCACUGGAACUUGUCCUCCCCCAGCAGCCGCUGCCAGCGCGGCCGGUC
ensembl:lncRNA